rnacentral:rRNA from 1 species
AGGCAAUAACAGGUCUGUGAUGCCCUUAGAUGUUUUGGGCCGCACGCGCGCUACACUGACAGAGCCAGCGAGUUCUCACCUUGGCCGGAAGGUCUGGGUAAUCUUGUGAAACUUUGUCGUGCUGGGGAUAGAGCAUUGCAAUUAUUGCUCUUCAACGAGGAAUUCCUAGUAAGCGUGAGUCAUCAGCUCGCGUUGAUUACGUCCCUGCCCUUUGUACACACCGCCCGUCGCUACUACCGAUUGAAUGGCUUAGUGAGGUCUCCGGAUUGGCUUUGGGGAGCCGGCAACGGCACUUAUUAGCGAGAAGC